rnacentral:lncRNA from 1 species
AGCAGUACCUUUGGCCUUCUUUUCAAUUAGUUUUUGAAGGUGUAAAAGCAAAUUGAUAGCUAUUUAAUAUGGUUAAUAUUAGCUCCAGCAUCUGAACUUCCAGCAUAUAACAGUUUUUUUAGACGUAGUGUUCUUGAGACUCACUGUCUAACGAAAUUUUCCUCCUUUCCUCCAUUUUUCCCCAUCAUUUCUUCCUGAUAGCCUCUCCUAGUCUCUCUUGAAAUCUCUGCUUCGUUCUCGUAUACAUUUUGGGAUCCAGAGCUACACCAGAACAUUUUCUUGGUUCCCAGUAGCUAUAGAAAAUGUAAUGCUUUUAUACUCCAAUACACAGAUUGGAAUAUAUGACAAAGAAUUACUGUGGCUCUGAUAAUAACAGUAGGAAGACUUGACUGUGUGUGUAGGAAGAUCAGGGGAAGCAUUCUCAAAUACAUGCUUAAGUAAAUAGCUGAAUACCUAACUUAGGAUAUCCUCAGCUGAGGUUCCUUCUAUUUACACCUGCUUCAAAGCCCUGCACCCCCUGCAGGGCUUUCACUCUAGAUUUUAGUGUCUCCUAGCCUAAAGCCCUUCACUGUUUGCCUGUUUCCAGCUCAUUCCAGUACAGAGCAUCUAGAUCCUUGCUUUCUACAACCCAUGCCCCCCUACAUGAACCACAUAGUUCACAACCUCUGCAGCUUUUUGCCACAACUCCUAUUCCCACCAAAGAGCUACGCUUUUCCCAGGCAUCCCAGAUCCUCUCCUCCUGCAUCUCUUCACUCUGUGCCAGUAGAAAUGCUUAUUCUGCUUGCCUCACGGCUCUUAACAGCUUCCCCAAAGCCUUCUGCUCCCUAACAGUCUCCUCCUGCCCUCAGUCCUUCCCACUACUUUCCAGUGUUUGCAGCUGGAGAAACAGGUAGCUGCUGCUUCUCUCCUAGAAUUUCAAGUUCCUCAGUGCAGUGAUCUCAACGUAACUCCUUUCUGCUUUCAAGAACAAGGAGGAAGAGGGAAAAGCAGGGUAAGUGAGGCAUAUUUUAGCGCUUUGUAUGCUGUAAGAAUGGAUGGAUCCAGGCAAGGUUUGGAGGAAGACUAAGCCAAGAAAUAUUUAGCAUAGUAUGUUUUAUAGAAGAUGUAACCCUACUCCAGCCCCACUGGGCUUUUGAACUGUUUGGUGUGGUUCUCCCCAUGCUCGUUUCUUUGUACUACUGGUCACCUUAACAUUUUCAUGUUUUCAAACAAAAAGGAUUUGGACACAUUACUUUUGGUUCAGAACUUUUUAUGAAUACAGCCAUAUGAAAAAGUAUUACAUGAGUGGCUCCCGGUCACUUGCUUUUGAAAGGAAGCUUACUUACGUAAAUGAGUUUGUGAAAAAAAGUAAUAUGGAGACAUCAUGGUUUUUUAAUACAAUUCAUACAUGGUUUAAUAUGAUUUAUAAUAUUACAGAUAAUUCUUCUUUAAAAAUGGGUAAUUGUCAGUGCCAAAAUCUGAUUAUAAUUCAUCAACAGUAAGUGAACUGAAGCUCUACCUUAAGCUUCUCCAAGGGUAAAUUUGUCUCAGUUUAUCUGACUUCUGGUUUUACAGCCUGUACAAAGUGUGCCAGCUUGUUUGUGUCAGAAGAUUCAUCUAGAACUUAAACUAUGUAGAUUUUAAAUCAGUCAAAAAGUCCUGUACCAAGUAGUCUGCCAUUAGAAUGAAAGGUGAGCAUCAUAACCUGUGUGUCACCAACUGAGGAGGUGCAAUUUUCCUUGCUUUAACAAACAUACAAUGCAGUUUAAAAACAAUCUUUCAAAAAAAUUGGUUGGACAGACUAGAGCUGCAGUCUUUGUACCUGCAAUUUACUCCAUCUACCUAAUCUCUGUGACUAUAAAUUACUUCACCUAUCUGCUGAGCAUGCAAAGACUAUCAGAGACCCCUGAUGAAGUAAAAAAGACCCCCCCUGAAAAGAACUAUUAGCAAAAUAUUUAUCUUGUUAGUUCUAAUGCAGAAGCAACAUUCCAUUCCUACAAUUUCUGCCCAACAUAACUUGUUCUCAUACACUUGCAUCCAAACUUAAUGCUAUCAAAAACAUAAGCCUCAAUCCAGUUCGCUAUUCAGUGUGAGACUUCCAUAUAUCCGAUUCAGGCUGCUUCCAGUCUUCUCCCAUUAGUUCUUUCAGGUUCAAUUCUUGGAAAAAUUCCAGGCGAUGAAAAUCUGGUUUCUGUCCUUCCUGAAGUUUGUGUUGAGGCACAGGAUAAAGUGCUUCAUAUUUUCUGUGUUCUCCUGAGCCAUAGAUUGCAUAUGCAUUGAACUUGUUAGUGCCCGGCGGAAAAUAAUUCCAAGGAAGAUGAGCUGUACCUUCCCAUUUGGUUUCUGUUCUGGUCACAUCAAAUUCUAAGGGAAGUUCUUCCUGUUACACAUGAGGGGGGGAAAAAGAAUGCUAUUGAUCUUUUAAUCUACCAACAGCUAUCUAAAAACAAUUAGGUUCUGUGCAUUAUGAAUGCCCUUGAUCACUUACUUUCCACACUCUUCUUUUGCCAGAAAGCAGCAACAGUAAGUGUUGUCCGUGACUGUCAAAAAUCAGAGCCACAAUUUUCAUAACACAAUGUCAAGUUACUCGUGUAUUUAUCUGCCACAACAAUAUACGUCCUCCAUAUUGAAGUCAUUUCUGUACCCACACCUUGCCUCAUGCACACAUUUUACAAGCAUUAGAACAAGAAAUGCAAAUUAGCAUUCACAACUUUUUAAGCAAGCUGUACUUACGGACAAAGUUCAACUUCUAGAUACUGCUCACUCCUGUCACUCAAGAAAAAUGCUUCUACAACUUAAAAAGAGACAAGCUGUCAAUAUUUUAUACUAGUUAUCUGUUUUGAUACAUUCCAAGGCUUUCACAAUCCAUUGUUUUCACAAUGGUUUUUGGCCUGUGCCAUCCCUGAGUUUGACUGUGUGCAUGCUACUGAUGCUUUCUAAUUCAAGAGCUGUGCAGUAAUCCCAACCUCAGGAGCUUUUUUUAAUGCUAUCAACAUGAAGACAACAGCACAGUUCUAUUUAUUGACUGUUCACCUUACUGUCAAUUGUGUGAUGAAAACUAGAGUUUCGCUCUUGAUUCGACUUUAUAGUUGAAUACAACAUGAUGUUCAUGGUUACUUAA